GACGAACCGUGCGAACGUUGUUCGGAAUCACUGGGCUUAAAGGGCGCGUAGGCGGGUGACCAAGUCAGGGGUGAAAUCUUUCGGCCCAACCGGAAAAGUGCCUCUGAUACUGGUCGUCUUGAGGGAGGUAGGGGUCGAGGGAACUGGUGGUGGAGCGGUGAAAUGCGUAGAUAUCACUAGGAGCCGGUGGCGAAAGCGCUCGACUGGACCUCUUCUGACGCUGAGGCGCGAAAGCCAGGGGAGCAAACGGG
rnacentral:rRNA from 1 species